rnacentral:ncRNA from 19 species
CAGUGCAAUGAUGAAAGGGCAU